AUGGUGUCAGAGAAGAAAGAUGGAGCAACACUGCAUGACGCCAUCGAUGUGCCAGAAUGUGUCAGACCGGCAGUACUAAAGACGCUCUGUGCAAGCCUAAAUAACCUCAGCUCUCCUGACACUGUACAUGAUCAGCCAGACAAUCCUAACAGAAAUCCCGAAGAGCAAGGUCACCUUCUGCCCAAGGCUAUCACAUCACUGUCUGAUGCUGACAGUGAGCGAACAAAGCGGUACGGUUGGGCCUUCUUUAAACUUCCCACAUGCUCACAUGUAAUUCUGGUGUGGCACAUUGCAACCAGCCUCUGUGAGAUGAAGCUUGCUCAAGACCAUAAUGUCGACUUAAGCAAACAUGGGUUGCUGAACUCCGUCUUGUCAUACUUCGCAAGUUGCUGCACAUUGAAACCAUAUCUUUUGGAUGUGGAUGAGAAGACGAAAGAAAAGAAGAAAGUGAAUGAGAAGUUGCCUCACAAGCUCGAGGAAAUGUAUAUCACUGCGAAUAGCUUGUCUCGAUAUUGUGCAUAUCUGCUAGUUUCAAAGCCUGACCUGAUCCCUGACAGCUUUUAUGUACCCAAGAUGGUCUUACAAGAAACCGUGGCACACGCUCGUGAUCAUAUUCUUAAAAACUGUGACUCAUUGCAGAGCAGGUAUGACAAACUGAUGGAAGAAGCAGUGAAGGCCAUUCAAGAUGCCGACAACGUCAUGAAGAAUGAAGAUGUUGUGCGACUGGGUGCAAAGCUGGGCAAGGAACUGAUUGAUCAAGAGACUCAAGAAGAAUGCUGGGAGAUCCUGUCUGGGGUAUGGACAGAUUUACUAGUGCACCUUGCCCCUACUUGGAACGCAGAGGCGCACAAGGAGUGCCUCGAGUCAGGAGGGGAAUUCAUAACCUAUAUCUGGGCACUGCUAUGGCAUUGCGGAAUCGAGAAGAGCAAAUUAUGGCCAGUGGAAGAUGUGUGUGGAAAUGAUACCCCUGGAACACCACCUGAGGACAACAGUGUUCGAAAUAAUAGCAUUCAGCAUUCCCAGCAGAGUUGUGUAGCAGGACCGAAGGAAGAAAGAGAGGAAACUGACAUACAGAGACCAGAGAUCCAACAAGUUGAAACGCUAAGUGCAGAUACGGCUGGUCAUCAGAAUGGGCAAAGUGGCAAUGUAGCGGUUAGAGGGAUGCAGAAUGGAGGGAACAGUUGUUACUUCAAUGCAGUCUUGCAGAGUCUCCUUGCACUUGAUAAGCUGCGUGCAAGGAUGUUAGGACCGGAUGCUCUGACAGGGGACCUUGGUCAGGAACUGCAGAAGCUCUUCAUAAUAACAGCCAAUACCAAUGGCACUGGAAGUGUGCUGAUGCCAGAGAAGCUCUUCUCAUAUAUGUGCAAAAGGAAUUCAGAUUUCAGAACUGGCAUGAUGGAAGAUAGCAAUAAUAUGCUUGGUUCCUUGAUAGACGGUUUGAAGAAUGAGGAACGUACGAUGGUCGAGUCACUCUUCCGCAGUGAGGUCGUUAAACAUGUUUACAGCAAAAAGUGUGAGCACACAUCGGUUACCACCGGCUGCGAGUACCUUGAUCUCAGUUUGGCAAUACCACCAAAGAGGCCUGCAUCAAUCGAGGACUGCUUGGACUUCUAUGCCACUGGGGAGAUCGAGGAUUGGCACUGUAUGGACUGUUCAGCUGCCGCUGCUUCUGGAAAUUCAUCUUUCAACCAAGAAGAUACAACAAACUAUGAUGGCCAACCUGAACAGCAGGAGAACAAAACAUACGAAAAGGGGGAAUCCAGCCAUCAAGCUGACAAACAAACAAGAAUACCGAAUCAGAACAGCGGAAAGCUACCGAUGCUUGAUGGCAACUCAAGUCAAAUGGAAGAGAGCCAUAAAAAACAGAGAGAGGAAGAGAAGAUAUACAGAGCUGCAACAGUAGAAUAUCGUAUUAGUAAGGCGGCACCUAUACUAACCAUUCAGCUGAAGAGAUUCAGCUAUGUCAUCUCGGAUAGUCCAGACAAGUUGGAAGAACAUGUCAUCUUUCAGGAUACACUUAAUAUGAAAAAGUUCAUGGACCCUGGACAUACGGAGGAUGAUGAGCACAAAUAUCAUCUGGUUGCAGUAAUUGUGCACAAUGGACCAACCCUGGGCGAAGGACACAUUUUUGCUUAUGUGAGAGCAAGCCAAAUCGGAUGUCAGCAGCAGGAGCGCUGUGGCACUCCCACAUGGUUCCGCGCAAGCGACGAGAGCAUCACAGAAGUGUCACUAAAAGAGGUACUUGACUGUCAAGCCUACAUACUUUUUUAUGAGAAAUGGGAUGAGCAGCCAAAGGCUGAGUAA
rnacentral:rRNA from 1 species